GUUCAUCUGGCCCUGGAGACUUGAAUACAUCUAAACUAGCCAAGUAUUCUUGUACUAUCUCCUUAGUUAUUCUGGGCUGUGUUUCCUUUGCUGAAUCAUUUGCUCCAAAUUCUUCAGGUCGGGCAUUGUUUUCUUUAUCAGAGAAGACUGAGGCAAAGAAGGCAUUGAGGAGUUCAGCCCUUUCUGUGUCCCCUGUUUGCAUUUCACCAUCUUCUCCUCUGAGUGACCCCACUGUUUCUUUGUUCUUCCUUUUGCUACGAUCAUACCCAUAAAAGCCUUUUUGUUGCUUUUAACCUCUCUAGC